CACACCAGAGCACGUCCUGUGGGGUCAGGGGUCCGGGGUGCUGGCUUGAGCACCAGCCUGAUCAGUGGCCCUGCUGUGUCCUGAGUAUGGGGGAGCAGAGCCCUGGGCAGCAUCCUUCCCAGGGAUACACCCGUGAGAGCUCGGCGGAGGACACACGUAGCUGCUGAUGGGCACUGCACCGAGAGGGACAGAAUUGCUGGUAAGCUGUGAAACAGGAAAGACCACUGCAUAUGGCUGUGCAAUUUAUUUACAAGGGUACCAGGUUGAGAGGAAUAAGUAGUCAGGAGAAAUGUAAAGAAUGAUUCCAGCUUUUAGUGUACACGAAUGACCUCAGAGAGAAAGUUAACUGCUUACCCAAGUCACAGGCUUGGGGCAGACAAAGCACCUUUAAACCAGACUCCUUCACUCAAAUACCAUGAGAUCAAUGCCCAUUAUUAGACGGGAAUCAUCACGAUGGAGUUGUUAAUUCUUUUUUUCUGGAUUUUUUCCUCAACGUGUUUUUUUUGGUUGAAUUCUUUUAAACUAUUCCCAGUGACUAUUGACUUUUAGGUAGCUAAUAUUCUCUUAACGUACUGUGUUCAUUAAUAUGGCAUUUAUCAAAAGGCAAAAGAGAAUGGCAACUAUCCAUGUUUUACAACAAAGCUGAUAGAAUUAUAAGAGAAUGAAAAGGACCAACCUGUUUCUAAGAAUCAGACUCCUUGGACUCAAGUCACCAUGGACUAUUUCUGCUUUGUGUAGUUUCUCCAUCAUUGUCAAGAGGUUACAAAUAAUCAACACUAUCAUUUCAUGGGUAAUAAAUUCACUGUAUUGAAGAAGAUCCUGGAAAUAGAAGGACAGAAAACUAUUUCUUAAUUUGGGGUGACUUAUACUCAAUACCUUGCUUACCACUGCCCUGUACUCUUCCUUGUUGUUCUCUAUUAGAAUGUCGGCUCCUUUGUA